UACGUAGGGUGCAAGCGUUAAUCGGAAUUACUGGUCGUAAAGCGUGCGCAGGCGGUUAUGUAAGACAGAUGUGAAAUGCCCGGGCUUAACCUGGGAACUGCAUUUGUGACUGCAUGGCUAGAGUUUGGCAGAGGGGGGUAGAAUUCCACGUGUAGCAGUGAAAUGCGUAGAUAUGUGGAGGAACACCGAUGGCGAAGGCAGCCCCCUGGGUCAAGACUGACGCUCAUGCACGAAAGCGUGGGGAGCAAACAGG
rnacentral:rRNA from 1 species